rnacentral:tRNA from 1 species
CCGGGGUGGCGGUCUUGCCGGCCGCGCCCACGGCCUUUCCGGCCGCCGGGACGGCCGUGCCGACGGCCUCGCCGCCGGUCGCCCCGGCGACUCCGGUC